rnacentral:lncRNA from 1 species
CUGCAUCUUCAGAGGUACAGGAACUAGUGCUUCAAUCUACUUCUCUGCAACUUCAGGAAGAUAAGACUUGUAGCUUCAGCUUGAUCUACCAAUCUGCUCCACUGCAACUUCAAGGAGAUAAGAUCUGAGGUUUUAACCUACUCCACUGUCGGCUUUAAUCUGCUCCACCGCAACUUCAGGGAGAUAAGAUUUGUCAUCUUCAGUCUGCCUCA